CCGAAAGAUCGAAUGGGGAGAUUCAUCGUCAGCGAUCCUGGUACUUGUGCGGUUCGUGAUGCCGGAGACCUCGGUCUUGCGGCACGCGUCCGCAUGGUUUUUAUGCCGGGUGUCGUCGGCGUGCACUUCUCCCCUAGUAGGACGUCGCGACCCGUUGGGUGUCGGUCUACGGCCCGGGUGGGUGCCUGUCUAGUGUGGCGCUUCACGGCGUCACUGCAAUUCAGACCCCCGGUUGCCUGGCCUACUGCCCGGCGGUACUCGCACGGUAUCUGGCCGCAGACAUUGAACUGCGUCCGGCCCGUCGCAAGCGCGGCAAGUGUUUCCCGACUGUACGGAUCGUAUGCUGCCGUCAGCGGGCCUUGCCAGCUGUUGGUUGACGGUGUCCUAGGACUGGCUAACAAAAUUAUGAUACCGGUCGGCGACGCUACUGCUUUGGGUACUUUCAGGACCCGUCUUGAAACACGGA
rnacentral:rRNA from 1 species